SUUUUGACCGUGCUAAGGUAGCAUAAUCAUUAGUUUUUUAAUUAAAGGCUGGADUGAAGGGUUGAAUGAAAAAAUGACUGUCUCUUAUAAAUUUUAUUAGAAUUUUAUUUUUAAGUUAAAAAGCUUAAAUAUAUUUGAAAGACGAGAAGACCCUAUAGAGUUUAAUAUAAUUUAAUUUUUAAUGGUUAAGAAUUUAAUUUUUAAUUAUAAUAUUAUAUUUAAUUGGGGUGAUUAAAAAAUUUAAUASSCUUUUUUUUUAUUUUAAUAUAAAUURAUAAAUAUUUGAUCCAAAUUUUUUGAUUAUAAGAAUAAAUUACCUUAGGGAUAACAGCGUAAUUAUACUGGAGAGUU
rnacentral:rRNA from 1 species